GUGGAGAAGUGACUCUGAAGGCUGUGGGCUGGUCUCCACCAUGACUGAGGCCUCCUUGUGUGGUGAUUUCCAUAACUGGCGACACAUGUCUCUUCAAAGGCCAGACUGCUCUAGAAACAAGCCCAGGGCCUCCAGGUAUCCAGAGCUGGGGUGACUGGGAAGUGAGGGAAGAGCCCAACUGAAGAGGAACCACCUCAGAGGAGGGCACAGGGCAUCCUUCAACUCCAGUGUCCACCACUGCUCACAGCCUUCCCAGAAGCAGAAAGAGAAAUCGUGAUACACAGGAAAGCGGUCACAUCGCUCCAGCUAUUACUGUCAUGUGGGAAUAUGUGUCCAGGACAUGUGAGCUUUCCACUCGCAAGAGAAGUCAGAAACUUGGAUUUUAAAUAAAUCUUCCUACUUUGAUUACUCAAUGGUGGAUUAUAUGACCACGAGCACCAAACAGCUCCAUGAGAGCCGCGAGUUGGCAAACUGAGAUGGACAGAAUAAAAUCUGACUGUCUGAGGACUUGAAUGACAAACUAAAAUUCUAUUUCCUCUGCUAGAUGAUGAAAACAAGAUUCUGGAGCAAAGAAGGGGUCUGAAUGAAAGCGUGCUUCAGGGAUAUUCCCAUGGUUUUUUCGGUAAACCUUGGGAUGGAAUGGAGAAGGGGCCUCAGUCAGGAGCUCACAGGUGGUUGCUCCAAUUGUGCACAGAGAACAGAAAAGAAAGGAGAAGAGGAAAGGUAUGAAAGAUGCUGGGAGGCACCUGGGAGAUAGCUGGGAGAUGUGACUGGCCCUGGAAGGAG
ensembl:lncRNA